rnacentral:rRNA from 1 species
ACGAACGCUGGCGGCAUGCCUAACCCAUGCAAGUCGAACGAGACCUUCGGGUCUAGUGGCGCACGGGUGCGUAACGCAUGGGAACCUGCCCUUAGGUUCGGAAUAACUCCCCGAAAGGGGUGCUAAUACCGGAUAAUGUCUUCGGACCAAAGAUUUAUCGCCUUUGGAUGGGCCCGCGUUGGAUUAGCUAGUUGGUAGGGUAAAAGCCUACCAAGGCGACGAUCCAUAGCUGGUCUGAGAGGAUGAUCAGCCACACUGGGACUGAGACACGGCCCAGACUCCUACGGGAGGCAGCAGUGGGGAAUAUUGGACAAUGGGCGAAAGCCUGAUCCAGCAAUGCCGCGUGAGUGAUGAAGGCCUUAGGGUUGUAAAGCUCUUUUACCCGGGAUGAUAAUGACAGUACCGGGAGAAUAAGCUCCGGCUAACUCCGUG